rnacentral:rRNA from 1 species
CACGUAGGGUGCGAGCGUUGUCCGGAAUUAUUGGGCGUAAAGAGCUCGUAGGCGGUUUGUCGCGUCUGCCGUGAAAACCUGCAGCUUAGCUGUGGGCGUGCGGUCGAUACGGGCAUCACUGGAGUUCGGCAGGGGAGACUGGAAUUCCUGGUGUAGCGGUGAAAUGCGCAGAUAUCAGGAGGAACACCGGUGGCGAAGGCGGGUUUCUGGGCCGAUACUGACACUGAGGAGCGAAAGCGUGGGGAGCGAACAGG